CGGUCAACAAUUUUUACACUUAU
rnacentral:snRNA from 1 species